CCUACGGGUGGCAGCAGUGAGGAAUAUUGGUCAAUGGACGCAAGUCUGAACCAGCCAUGCCGCGUGCAGGAUGACGGCUCUAUGAGUUGUAAACUGCUUUUGUACGAGGGUAAACCUGGAUACGUGUAUCCAGUUGAAAGUAUUUUACGAAUAAGGAUCGGCUAACUCCGUGCCAGCAGCCGCGGUAAUACGGAGGAUCCAAGCGUUAUCCGGAUUUAUUGGGUUUAAAGGGUGCGUAGGCGGGUUGAUAAGUUAGAGGUGAAAUUUCGGGGCUCAACCCGGGAACUGCCUCUAAUACUGUUGGGCUAGAGAAUAGAUGCGGUAGGCGGAAGGUAUGGUGUAGCGGUGAAAUGCUUAGAGAUCAUACAGAACACCGAUUGCGAAGGCAGCUUACCAAUCUAUAUCUGACGUUGAGGCACGAAAGCGUGGGGAGCAAACAGGAUUAGAUACCCUAGUAGUC
rnacentral:rRNA from 1 species